rnacentral:rRNA from 1 species
GACGAACGCUGGCGGCGCGCUUAACACAUGCAAGUCGAGCGAAGCGGCGGACGGGUUAGUAACACGUGAGGAACCUGCCUUAGACAUUGGGAUAGCCACGGGAAACCGGGAUUAAUACCAAAUGGUCUAAGAUGGACUCGCGUCCCAUUAGCUCGUUGGUGAGGUAACGGCCCACCAAGGCGACGAUGGGUAGCCUGCCAGAGAGGGUGAACGGCCACAUUGGAACUGAGAAACGGUCCAAACUCUACGGUAGGCAGCAGUGGGUAAUAUUGCACAAUGGAGGGAACUCUGAUGCAGCUCCGCCGCGUGAACGAAGAAGGCUUUCGAGUCGUAAAGUACUUUUAUAUGGGAAGCGGUACCAUAAGAAAAAGCCCCGGCUAACUACGUGCCAGCAGCCGCGGUAAUUC